GUGUUAUUUGUCUUCUAUAUUUGUAAUUUCAAGAUGAAAACAUAUAAAACUAGUUUGGCAUCUUUGACAGGAAGUAACUUAAGGGUUUCACGCAAUUCUUCUCACUCAGUUUGCUUUGGUCUUUCUUCCAAUGGUUCUAUGCUGGUGGAGACCAAUGUGGAUUUGGUCAGUUUCCUACUUUCGGGUGGAAAGCGUGGAAAAACACCAUGACUUAUGUUGGAGCAGGAAUGAUCUGUUCUCAUCUUGUCAAUUUAUCAUUGUUUUUCGGUGUUGUGGUUUCAUGGGGCAUUAUGUGGCCAUUGAUCAGAGUACUUAAAGGAAGUUGGUUCUCUGAAAGUUUACCGGAGAGUAGCAUGAAGAGUCUUAAUGGUUAUAAGGUCUUUGAAUGAACACAAAUUGAAGGACACACUAUUAGAACUAACAUGAUUUCAGUUUUGAUUUUUUUCCAUUUUAAGCCUUAACUUUCCUUUAUUUUCAUGAUGCAGGUUUUUAUUUCCAUUGCAUUAAUCCUUGGUGAUGAACUCUACAAUUUUAUCAAAAUUAUAUAUUUUAGUGCCUUUUUAUCUUCUCUUUAUUUCUUGGUUUUGUUUCCCUUUUCUAUUAUGUUAAUGGUGUUUCCCUUGUUGAUGACUUUCUAUAUAUAAAGUCUUAGUGUAUGGAGAUUGUCCAUUUCUUGUUUCAUACCUUCUUGAUUUUUCAGCAUCAACCUCGGGAGUAGAUGGGAGCUUGUCGGUAUCUAGAUUUCCCGUUGAUCAUGAAAUCAAUUUGAGGAUUUAUUUGUAGAUGGAUUCUGUUGUAAAUUCAACCAAUGAGGUGUUCAAUGAUCCCACGACAUUAACAAAGGAGGAGCUGUAUGAUUUGCGAGACCGCUGGGCAACU